rnacentral:rRNA from 1 species
ACCUGCCCCUGACUCUGGGAUAAGCCCGGGAAACUGGGUCUAAUACCGGAUAUGACUUUUGACCGCAUGGUUGAGGGGUGGAAAGAUUUAUCGGUUGGGGAUGGACUCGCGGCCUAUCAGCUUGUUGGUGAGGUAAUGGCUCACCAAGGCGACGACGGGUAGCCGGCCUGAGAGGGUGACCGGCCACACUGGGACUGAGACACGGCCCAGACUCCUACGGGAGGCAGCAGUGGGGAAUAUUGCACAAUGGGCGCAAGCCUGAUGCAGCGACGCCGCGUGAGGGAUGACGGCCUUCGGGUUGUAAACCUCUUUCAGUAGGGAAGAAGCGAAAGUGACGGUACCUGCAGAAGAAGCGCCGGCUAACUACGUGCCAGCAGCCGCGGUAAUACGUAGGGCGCAAGCGUUAUCCGGAUUUAUUGGGCGUAAAGAGCUCGUAGGCGGUUUGUCGCGUCUGCCGUGAAAGACCGGGGCUCAACCCUGGUUCUGCGGUGGGUACGGGCAGACUAGAGUGAUGUAGGGGAGACUGGAAUUCCUGGUGUAGCGGUGAAAUGCGCAGAUAUCAGGAGGAACACCGAUGGCGAAUGCAGGUCUCUGGGCAUUUACUGACGCUGAGGAGCGAAAGCAUGGGGAGCGAACAGGAUUAGAUACCCUGGUAGUCCAUGCCGUAAACGUUGGGCACUAGGUGUGGGGGACAUUCCACGUUUUCCGCGCCGUAGCUAACGCAUUAAGUGCCCCGCCUGGGGAGUACGGC